rnacentral:rRNA from 1 species
ACAAUAAAUCGUAAAAUUUCUUGUGGUUUGUGGGUUGGUGUGCCUUUUGCCUCAUGCUAAUUCAAGUGUUUGGUUUAUACCUUAUACCGAAAUCUCCGGAUCUUUCCUCCAAAUCGUUAAGAACUGUCAGUGGGUAACUGAGUAUAUUUGGGGAAUGGGGUGAUAAAUUAAUCGUCGGGGAGUAUACCUGUUUGGAGGAGAAGUUUCCUAUUAAGGGUGGGGGUGAUGAGAUCCUUACUCCGAUUAUAUUUAUAGUAGUGAUAUAUUAAACUAAGGUUAGGGUUACCUCUGUUUUUUGAUUAUGUUAAAAUAUCAAUUAGAUGUUGUUAUAAAUUAAUUUGAUCAUCCUCCUAUAUUAAUCAUUGAAGGUAAUUUAUGAGUUAAUCAGUAAUUAUAGUAGUAUAAAUCUAUCUCGAGCCGAGUCCAACUGUUUAUUAAAAACAUUUCUGCUUUUAUAUAUAUAAGCAGUACGACCUGCCCGGUGUGAUAUUAACGGCCGCAGUAUUAUGACUGUGCGAAGGUAGCAUAAUUAAUUGCCCCAUAAUUGGGGGCUUGUCUGAAAGGUUUUAUGUGACUCGAGCCAAGAUUUGUAUUUUUAUUGAAGUUAAUUUUGUGGGUAAAGAAUCCACAAUGGAUAGUAAGACGGAAAGACCCCAGGAUCUUUUGUUUUGUCUGGGGCAGAUUAUAUUGUUUUAACAUGUUUUGGACCCUUAGAUUAGAGAGUUAAGUUACCCUGGGGAUAACAGAGUAAUAGUUUAUUAGAGACCAUAUCGAUUAAACUGCUUGCUACCUCGAUGUUGACUUGGGUUCGCUUAAUGGCGCAGUAGUUGUUAAGCAAGGUCUGUUCGACCAUAAUACCCUCAUGAGUUGAGUUAAGACCGGCGUGAGCCAGGUCGGUUCUUAUCUACUGGUGUGGUGGGCUAGUACGAAAGGACCUCCCAUCAUUUUAUU